GAUGAACGCUGGCGGCGUGCCUAAUACAUGCAAGUCGAGCGAACAGAUGAGGAGCUUGCUCCUCUGACGUUAGCGGCGGACGGGUGAGUAACACGUGGAUAACCUACCUAUAAGACUGGGAUAACUUCGGGAAACCGGAGCUAAUACCGGAUAAUAUAUUGAACCGCAUGGUUCAAUAGUGAAAGACGGUUUUGCUGUCACUUAUAGAUGGAUCCGCGCCGCAUUAGCUAGUUGGUAAGGUAACGGCUUACCAAGGCAAUGAUGCGUAGCCGACCUGAGAGGGUGAUCGGCCACACUGGAACUGAGACACGGUCCAGACUCCUACGGGAGGCAGCAGUAGGGAAUCUUCCGCAAUGGGCGAAAGCCUGACGGAGCAACGCCGCGUGAGUGAUGAAGGUCUUCGGAUCGUAAAACUCUGUUAUUAGGGAAGAACAAAUGUGUAAGUAACUAUGCACGUCUUGACGGUACCUAAUCAGAAAGCCACGGCUAACUACGU
rnacentral:rRNA from 1 species